UUGUGCCUGGUUCCCUGUAUGCCACAAGCCGACUCCAAUCCCUUCUCUCGAUUGGCUCUUGUUGGUGGCAUGCACGGACUCAAGCACAC
rnacentral:pre_miRNA from 1 species